rfam:Myotis brandtii contig232778, whole genome shotgun sequence.
AUUCAGGGGAGGGGGUUCCUCAGCCUGGAUUGUGAGAGGGCACAGGCCAGGCCAAGGGACCCUACCAGUGCAUG